rnacentral:rRNA from 1 species
GAUGAACGCUGGCGGCGUGCCUAAUACAUGCAAGUCGAGCGAACAGACGAGGAGCUUGCUCCUCUGACGUUAGCGGCGGACGGGUGAGUAACACGUGGAUAACCUACCUAUAAGACUGGGAUAACUUCGGGAAACCGGAGCUAAUACCGGAUAAUAUAUUGAACCGCAUGGUUCAAUAGUGAAAGACGGUUUUGCUGACACUUAUAGAUGGAUCCGCGCCGCAUUAGCUAGUUGGUAAGGUAACGGCUUACCAAGGCGACGAUGCGUAGCCGACCUGAGAGGGUGAUCGGCCACACUGGAACUGAGACACGGUCCAGACUCCUACGGGAGGCAGCAGUAGGGAAUCUUCCGCAAUGGGCGAAAGCCUGACGGAGCAACGCCGCGUGAGUGAUGAAGGUCUUCGGAUCGUAAAACUCUGUUAUUAGGGAAGAAAAAAUGUGUAAGUAACUAUGCACGUCUUGACGGUACCUAAUCAGAAAGCCACGGCUAACUACGUG